rnacentral:rRNA from 1 species
CCGGACCGGCGCACGGGUGAGUAACACGUAUGGAACCUGCCCGCAGCAGGGGGAUAAGCGGAAGAAAUUCCGUCUAAUACCGCGUAACACCGCAGAGGGGCAUCCCUCGGCGGUUAAAGAUUCAUCGGCUGCGGAUGGCCAUGCGGCGCAUUAGCUAGUCGGCGGGGUAACGGCCCACCGAGGCGACGAUGCGUAGGGGUUCUGAGAGGAAGGUCCCCCACACUGGUACUGAGACACGGACCAGACUCCUACGGAAGGCAGCAG